CAGUGGAUUCUAUAGGGAAGGAGGAAGUCAAGGUGUAGUUCUGGGACCAGUGGAUUCUAUAGUGAAGGAGGAAGUCAAGGUGUAGUUCUGGGACCAGUGGAUUCUAUAGUGAAGGAGGAAGUCAAGGUGUAGUUCUGGGCCCAGUGGAUUCUAUAGUGAAGGAGGAAGUCAAGGUGUAGUUCUGGGCCCAGUGGAUUCUAUAGUGAAGGAGGAAGUCAAGGUGUAGUUCUGGGCCCAGUGGAUUCUAUAGUGAAGGAGGAAGUCAAGGUGUAGGGUAGUUCUGGGCCCAGUAGAUUCUAUAGUGAAGGAGGAAGUCAAGGUGUAGUUCUGGGCCCAGUAGAUUCUAUAGUGAAGGAGGAAGUCAAGGUGUAGUUCUGGGCCCAGUAGAUUCUAUAGUGAAGGAGGAAGUCAAGGUGUAGGGUAGUUCUGGGACCAGUGGAUUCUAUAGUGAAGGAGGAAGUCAAGGUGUAGUUCUGGGCCCAGUGGAUUCUAUAGUGAAGGAGGAAGUCAAGGUGUAGUUCUGGGCCCAGUGGAUUCUAUAGUGAAGGAGGAAGUCAAGGUGUAGUUCUGGGACCAGUGGAUUCUAUAGUGAAGGAGGAAGUCAAGGUGUAGUUCUGGGCCCAGUAGAUUCUAUAGUGAAGGGGGAAGUCAAGGUGUAGUUCUGGGACCAGUAGAUUCUAUAGUGAAGGAGGAAGUCAAGGUGUAGUUCUGGGACCAGUGGAUUCUAUAGUGAAGGAGGAAGUCAAGGUGUAGUUCUGGGACCAGUGGAUUCUAUAGUGAAGGGGGAAGUCAAGGUGUAGUUCUGGGACCAGUGGAUUCUAUAGUGAAGGAGGAAGUCAAGGUGUAGUUCUGGGCCCAGUGGAUUCUAUAGGGAAGGAGGAAGUCAAGGUGUAGUUCUGGGACCAGUGGAUUCUAUAGUGAAGGAGGAAGUCAAGGUGUAGUUCUGGGACCAGUGGAUUCUAUAGUGAAGGAGGAAGUCAAGGUGUAGUUCUGGGCCCAGUGGAUUCUAUAGUGAAGGAGGAAGUCAAGGUGUAGUUCUGGGCCCAGUGGAUUCUAUAGUGAAGGAGGAAGUCAAGGUGUAGUUCUGGGCCCAGUGGAUUCUAUAGUGAAGGAGGAAGUCAAGGUGUAGGGUAGUUCUGGGCCCAGUAGAUUCUAUAGUGAAGGAGGAAGUCAAGGUGUAGUUCUGGGCCCAGUAGAUUCUAUAGUGAAGGAGGAAGUCAAGGUGUAGUUCUGGGCCCAGUAGAUUCUAUAGUGAAGGAGGAAGUCAAGGUGUAGGGUAGUUCUGGGACCAGUGGAUUCUAUAGUGAAGGAGGAAGUCAAGGUGUAGUUCUGGGCCCAGUGGAUUCUAUAGUGAAGGAGGAAGUCAAGGUGUAGGGUAGUUCUGGGCCCAGUAGAUUCUAUAGUGAAGGGGGAAGUCAAGGUGUAGUUCUGGGACCAGUAGAUUCUAUAGUGAAGGAGGAAGUCAAGGUGUAGUUCUGGGACCAGUGGAUUCUAUAGUGAAGGAGGAAGUCAAGGUGUAGUUCUGGGACCAGUGGAUUCUAUAGUGAAGGGGGAAGUCAAGGUGUAGUUCUGGGACCAGUGGAUUCUAUAGUGAAGGAGGAAGUCAAGGUGUAGUUCUGGGCCCAGUGGAUUCUAUAGUGAAGGAGGAAGUCAAGGUGUAGUUCUGGGACCAGUGGAUUCUAUAGUGAAGGAGGAAGUCAAGGUGUAGUUCUGGGACCAGUGGAUUCUAUAGUGAAGGAGGAAGUCAAGGUGUAGUUCUGGGCCCAGUGGAUUCUAUAGUGAAGGAGGAAGUCAAGGUGUAGUUCUGGGCCCAGUGGAUUCUAUAGUGAAGGAGGAAGUCAAGGUGUAGUUCUGGGCCCAGUGGAUUCUAUAGUGAAGGAGGAAGUCAAGGUGUAGGGUAGUUCUGGGCCCAGUAGAUUCUAUAGUGAAGGGGGAAGUCAAGGUGUAGUUCUGGGACCAGUAGAUUCUAUAGUGAAGGAGGAAGUCAAGGUGUAGUUCUGGGACCAGUGGAUUCUAUAGUGAAGGAGGAAGUCAAGGUGUAGUUCUGGGCCCAGUGGAUUCUAUAGUGAAGGAGGAAGUCAAGGUGUAGUUCUGGGACCAGUGGAUUCUAUAGUGAAGGAGGAAGUCAAGGUGUAGUUCUGGGACCAGUGGAUUCUAUAGUGAAGGAGGAAGUCAAGGUGUAGUUCUGGGACCAGUGGAUUCUAUAGUGAAGGAGGAAGUCAAGGUGUAGUUCUGGGACCAGUGGAUUCUAUAGUGAAGGAGGAAGUCAAGGCGUAGUUCUGGGACCAGUAGAUUCUAUAGUGAAGGGGGAAGUCAAGGUGUAGUUCUGGGACCAGUAGAUUCUAUAGUGAAGGGGGAAGUCAAGGUGUAGUUCUGGGACCAGUGGAUUCUAUAGUGAAGGAGGAAGUCAAGGUGUAGUUCUGGGCCCAGUGGAUUCUAUAGUGAAGGAGGAAGUCAAGGUGUAGUUCUGGGACCAGUGGAUUCUAUAGUGAAGGAGGAAGUCAAGGUGUAGUUCUGGGACCAGUGGAUUCUAUAGUGAAGGAGGAAGUCAAGGUGUAGUUCUGGGACCAGUGGAUUCUAUAGUGAAGGAGGAAGUCAAGGUGUAGUUCUGGGCCCAGUGGAUUCUAUAGUGAAGGAGGAAGUCAAGGUGUAGUUCUGGGACCAGUGGAUUCUAUAGUGAAGGAGGAAGUCAAGGUGUAGUUCUGGGCCCAGUGGAUUCUAUAGUGAAGGAGGAAGUCAAGGUGUAGUUCUGGGCCCAGUGGAUUCUAUAGUGAAGGGGGAAGUCAAGGUGUAGUUCUGGGACCAGUGGAUUCUAUAGUGAAUGAGGAAGUCAAGGUGUAGUUCUGGGACCAGUAGAUUCUAUAGUGAAGGAGGAAGUCAAGGUGUAGUUCUGGGACCAGUAGAUUCUAUAGUGAAGGAGGAGUGGAUGUCUUCAACCUUCUGUUCAAAGUGGUUGACAAAGUUGUCUGCAGAGAGGGAGGAGGAUUAAGGUGAGGAAAACAGUUUCCUUGGGUUAGAGGCAGAAUCUUACAUGUAGGGUGAUAGAAAGUGGCUUUAGCAGCAGAUACAGAGGAACAGAAGGUAGAGAGGAGGGAGGAUGAUAUAGUUCUCUUCCAUUUUCACUCAGCUGCCUGCAGCCCUGUUCUGUAAGCUCGUAAUGAGUCACUCAGCUGCCUGCAGCCCUGCUCUGUAAGCUCGUAAUGAGUCACUCAGCUGCCUGCAGCCCUGCUCUGUAAGCUCGUAAUGAGUCACUCAGCUGCCUGCAGCCCGGUUCUGUAAGCUCGUAAUGAGUCACUCAGCUGCCUGCAGCCCUGCUCUGUAAGCUCGUAAUGAGUCACUCAGCUGCCUGCAGCCCUGUUCUGUAAGCUCGUAAUGAGUCACUCAGCUGCCUGCAGCCCGGUUCUGUAAGCUCGUAAUGAGUCACUCAGCUGCCUGCAGCCCUGCUCUGUAAGCUCGUAAUGAGUCACUCAGCUGCCUGCAGCCCUGCUCUGUAAGCUCGUAAUGAGUCACUCAGCUGCCUGCAGCCCUGCUCUGUAAGCUCGUAAUGAGUCACUCAGCUGCCUGCAGCCCUGCUCUGUAAGCUCGUAAUGAGUCACUCAGCUGCCUGCAGCCCUGCUCUGUAAGCUCGUAAUGAGUCACUCAGCUGCCUGCAGCCCUGCUCUGUAAGCUCGUAAUGAGUCACUCAGCUGCCUGCAGCCCUGCUCUGUAAGCUCGUAAUGAGUCACUCAGCUGCCUGCAGCCCGGCUCUGUAAGCUCGUAAUGAGUCACUCAGCUGCCUGCAGCCCUGCUCUGUAAGCUCGUAAUGAGUCACUCAGCUGCCUGCAGCCCUGCUCUGUAAGCUCGUAAUGAGUCACUCAGCUGCCUGCAGCCCGGCUCUGUAAGCUCGUAAUGAGUCACUCAGCCACGGAGCAGGAAGAGAAGCCCGAGCCGGCCGGUGGAAAGGAGACAGUGAGAGUCAUAGGAUGCGGAAAGAGAGGAGAGUAGGGUCGAAGAGGCAGAAUAUGGUGACAAGGGGGAGAAGGAUUUAGCAGAAGGGAGAGAAGAUAGGAUAGAAGAGGAGAGAGUAGUGGGAGAGAGAGAGAGAAGAUAGGAUAGAAGAGGAGAGCGUAGUGGGAGAGAGAGAGAGAAGAUAGGAUAGAAGAGGAGAGCGUAGUGGGAGAGAGAGAGAGAAGAUAGGAUAGAAGAGGAGAGCGUAGUGGGAGAGAGAGAGAGAAGAUAGGAUAGAAGAGGAGAGAGUAGUGGGAGAGAGAGAGAGAAGAUAGGAUAGAAGAGGAGAGCGUAGUGGGAGAGAGAGAGAGAAGAUAGGAUAGAAGAGGAGAGAGUAGUGGGAGAGAGAGAGAGAAGAUAGGAUAGAAGAGGAGAGCGUAGUGGGAGAGAGAGAGAGAAGAUAGGAUAGAAGAGGAGAGCGUAGUGGGAGAGAGAGAGAGAAGAUAGGAUAGAAGAGGAGAGCGUAGUGGGAGAGAGAGAGAGAAGAUAGGAUAGAAGAGGAGAGCGUAGUGGGAGAGAGAGAGAGAAGAUAGGAUAGAAGAGGAGAGAGUAGUGGGAGAGAGAGAGAGAAGAUAGGAUAGAAGAGGAGAGAGUAGUGGGAGAGAGAGAGAGAAGAUAGGAUAGAAGAGGAGAGAGUAGUGGGAGAGAGAGAGAGAAGAUAGGAUAGAAGAGGAGAGAGUAGUGGGAGAGAGAGAGAGAAGAUAGGAUAGAAGAGGAGAGAGUAGUGGGAGAGAGAGAGAGAAGAUAGGAUAGAAGAGGA